CUGGGCUUUGGGCCGCUGUGACCCAAGACCCUUCUUCCCUGAAAAAGGAACAAAUAUUGGAAGUCUCUCUUCCCCACAUGUGUUUUUCUUCUUUCAGUUAGGGUCUGGGUCGUCAGUCAGACUCCUGGGGGCAGUCAGCCAAGCUUGGGAACCCAAACAGCCCCCACAGUUGGAAGAACUGGAGGACCUCUCGAUAGCCAGCUCAGAGACACCUUCCCAGGGAUCCCAGCUUUCCUCCGCUCGGGCCAGGGGUUCACACCAGGAAAAAGCGCUAGCUCCAAAGGCAACCAAAGAUGUCUCUGGUGAAGGGGAGAAGAAGCCCCCUCAGGUGGGCAAAGCCUCUGCGCCCACACCUGUGGAGAAGCCACAGACCCCAGGUGAGUGGGAGCGAGUGCUCUGCUGGUGGGAGAAAGGUGGA
rnacentral:lncRNA from 1 species